rnacentral:rRNA from 1 species
CAGGCCUAACACAUGCAAGUCGCACGAGAAAGGGGAGCAAUCCCUGAGUAAAGUGGCGCACGGGUGAGUAACACGUGAAUCAUCUACCUCCGAGUGGGGAAUAACCUAGAGAAAUCUGGGCUAAUACCGCAUAACACUUACGAGUCAAAGCAGCAAUGCGCUUGGAGAGGAGUUCGCGGCCGAUUAGCUAGUUGGCGGGGUAAUGGCCCACCAAGGCGAUGAUCGGUAUCCGGCCUGAGAGGGCGCACGGACACACUGGAACUGAAACACGGUCCAGACUCCUACGGGAGGCAGCAGUGGGGAAUUUUGCGCAAUGGGGGAAACCCUGACGCAGCAACGCCGCGUGGAGGAUGAAAUAUCUUGGUAUGUAAACUCCUUUCGAUGGGGAAGAUUAUGACGGUACCCAUAGAAGAAGCCCCGGCUAACUUCGUGCCAGCAGCCGCGGUAAUAC